rnacentral:rRNA from 1 species
UACGAAGGGGGCUAGCGUUGCUCGGAAUCACUGGGCGUAAAGGGUGCGUAGGCGGGUCUUUAAGUCAGGGGGUGAAAUCCUGGAGCUCAACUCCAGAACUGCCUUUGAUACUGAGGAUCUUGAGUUCGGGAGAGGUGAGUGGAACUGCGAGUGUAGAGGUGAAAUUCGUAGAUAUUCGCAAGAACACCAGUGGCGAAGGCGGCUCACUGGUCCGGUACUGACGCUGAGGUGCGAAAGCGUGGGGAGCAAACAGG